ACGAACGCUGGCGGCGUGCCUAAUACAUGCAAGUAGAACGCUGAAGAGAGGAGCUUGCUCUUCUUGGAUGAGUUGCGAACGGGUGAGUAACGCGUAGGUAACCUGCCUUGUAGCGGGGGAUAACUAUUGGAAACGAUAGCUAAUACCGCAUAACAAUGGAUGACACAUGUCAUUUAUUUGAAAGGGGCAAUUGCUCCACUACAAGAUGGACCUGCGUUGUAUUAGCUAGUAGGUGAGGUAACGGCUCACCUAGGCGACGAUACAUAGCCGACCUGAGAGGGUGAUCGGCCACACUGGGACUGAGACACGGCCCAGACUCCUACGGGAGGCAGCAGUAGGGAAUCUUCGGCAAUGGGGGCAACCCUGACCGAGCAACGCCGCGUGAGUGAAGAAGGUUUUCGGAUCGUAAAGCUCUGUUGUAAGUCAAGAACGAGUGUGAGAGUGGAAAGUUCACACUGUGACGGUAGCUUACCAGAAAGGGACGGCUAACUACGUGCCAGCAGCCGCGGUAAUACGUAGGUCCCGAGCGUUGUCCGGAUUUAUUGGGCGUAAAGCGAGCGCAGGCGGUUUGAUAAGUCUGAAGUUAAAGGCUGUGGCUCAACCAUAGUUCGCUUUGGAAACUGUCAAACUUGAGUGCAGAAGGGGAGAGUGGAAUUCCAUGUGUAGCGGUGAAAUGCGUAGAUAUAUGGAGGAACACCGGUGGCGAAAGCGGCUCUCUGGUCUGUAACUGACGCUGAGGCUCGAAAGCGUGGGGAGCGAACAGGAUUAGAUACCCUGGUAGUCCACGCCGUAAACGAUGAGUGCUAGGUGUUGGAUCCUUUCCGGGAUUCAGUGCCGCAGCUAACGCAUUAAGCACUCCGCCUGGGGAGUACGACCGCAAGGUUGAAACUCAAAGGAAUUGACGGGGGCCCGCACAAGCGGUGGAGCAUGUGGUUUAAUUCGAAGCACCGCGAAGAACCUUAACAGGUCUUGACAUCCCGAUGCUAUUUCUAGAGAUAGAAAGUUACUUCGGUACAUCGGUGACAGGUGGUGCAUGGUUGUCGUCAGCUCGUGUCGUGAGAUGUUGGGUUAAGUCCCGCAACGAGCGCAACCCCUAUUGUUAGUUGCCAUCAUUCAGUUGGGCACUCUAGCGAGACUGCCGGUAAUAAACCGGAGGAAGGUGGGGAUGACGUCAAAUCAUCAUGCCCCUUAUGACCUGGGCUACACACGUGCUACAAUGGUUGGUACAACGAGUUGCGAGUCGGUGACGGCAAGCUAAUCUCUUAAAGCCAAUCUCAGUUCGGAUUGUAGGCUGCAACUCGCCUACAUGAAGUCGGAAUCGCUAGUAAUCGCGGAUCAGCACGCCGCGGUGAAUACGUUCCCGGGCCUUGUACACACCGCCCGUCACACCACGAGAGUUUGUAACACCCGAAGUCGGUGAGGUAACCUUUUGGAGCCAGCCGCCUAAGGUGGGAUAGAUGAUUGGGGUG
rnacentral:rRNA from 1 species